UGGGGAAUAUUGGACAAUGGGCGCAAGCCUGAUCCAGCCAUGCCGCGUGAGUGAUGAAGGCCCUAGGGUUGUAAAGCUCUUUCACCGGUGAAGAUAAUGACGGUAACCGGAGAAGAAGCCCCGGCUAACUUCGUGCCAGCAGCCGCGGUAAUACGAAGGGGGCUAGCGUUGUUCGGAUUUACUGGGCGUAAAGCGCACGGAGGCGGACUAUUAAGUCAGGGGUGAAAUCCCGGGGCUCAACCCCGGAACUGCCUUUGAUACUGGUAGUCUUGAGUUCGAGAGAGGUGAGUGGAAUUCCGAGUGUAGAGGUGAAAUUCGUAGAUAUUCGGGGGAACACCAGUGGCGAAGGCGGCUCACUGGCUCGAUACUGACGCUGGGGUGCGAAAGCGUGGGGAGCAAACAGG
rnacentral:rRNA from 1 species